UAGGGAAUCUUCGGCAAUGGGGGGAACCCUGACCGAGCAACGCCGCGUGAGUGAAGAAGGUUUUCGGAUCGUAAAGCUCUGUUGUUAAGGAAGAACGAGUGUGAGAAUGGAAAGUUCAUACUGUGACGGUACUUAACCAGAAAGCCACGGCUAACUACGUGCCAGCAGCCGCGGUAAUACGUAGGUGGCAAGCGUUGUCCGGAUUUAUUGGGCGUAAAGCGAGCGCAGGCGGUCAAUUAAGUCUGAUGUGAAAGCCCCCGGCUCAACCGGGGAGGGUCAUUGGAAACUGGUUGACUUGAGUGGAGAAGAGGAGGGUGGAAUUCCAUGUGUAGCGGUGAAAUGCGUAGAUAUAUGGGGGAACACCAGUGGCGAAGGCGACUCUCUGGUCUGUAACUGACGCGGAGGCUCGAAAGCGUGGGUAGCAAACAGG
rnacentral:rRNA from 1 species